AUGGAGAAAGCACGCGCAGCCAUCCUCUUCCUGCUACUCCUCGUCGAUUUCGCCGUAGCAGCACAAAACGCCACCGCCGGCGAAGCAGAUGGAUUCCACGUCGGGGUGAUCCUCGACCUGGGAUCGCCGGUGGGCAAAGUGGCGCGGACCAGCGUUCUGCUGGCCGUCCAAGAUUUCUACGCCGUCCACCGGAACUACAGCACGAAGCUUGUUCUCCAUAUUACGGACUCCAUGGGCAGCGAUGUCCAGGCUGCAUCAGCAGCUAUUGAGUUGCUGGAGAAAUACAAAGUGCAGGCCAUCAUUGGUCCCCAGAAAUCAUCAGAAGCUGUGUUCAUAUCCAGUGUUGGAAAUUUAACCCAAGUCCCCAUAGUAUCAUUCACAGCAACAAGCCCCUCUCUCACUUCUGAUAGUAUGCCGUAUUUUGUACGAUCAACACUGGAUGACUCGGCUCAGGUGAAUAGCAUUGCCUCGCUUGUACAGGCCUAUGGAUGGAGAGAGGUGGUGGCAGUAUAUGACGACACCGACUAUGGGAGAGGCAUUCUACCAUACCUCAUUGACGCACUUCAAGAAAUUGAUGUCCGUGUUGGGUAUCGCAGUGUUAUCCCUUCAACAGCAACAAAUGAGGCCAUGGUGCAAGAACUCAAUGGAUUGAUGGCAAUGCAAACAAGGGUAUUUAUUGUUCAUAUGUCAUCCACUAUGACCUCCCUUCUUUUUACAAAGGCAAAAGAGGUAGGGAUGAUGAACAAGGGAUUUGUUUGGAUGACCACAAGUGGAGUGGCAAACAUCAUCGACUCACUCAAUCCAAGUGUCAUUGAGGCAAUGAAUGGUGUGCUAGGAGUAAGAUAUCAUGUUCCCAGAUCACAAGAACUUGACAACUUAUCCAUAAGGUGGAACAGAAUGUACCAACACGAUAACCCGGAGGAGUCACCCUUUAAUAAACUAAGCAUUUUUGGACUAUGGGGCUAUGAUACGGUAUGGGCAUUGGCACAAGCAGCAGAAAAGGUUGGGAUAUCCGGUGCCAGAAAUAAGCAACCAUGGUCCAUUAAAAACUCCACAUGCUUGGAAUCAAUGGUUAUUUCCACUAAGGGUCCUGAACUCUUAAAGGCAAUCGUACAAAACAAAUUCAGAGGUUUAAGUGGUGACUUUGACCUUACAGGCAGACAACUUAAAGUUUCUGUGUUCCAAAUAAUAAACGUGGUUGGGAGAGGUUGUAGAGAAAUCGGGUUUUGGACUAUGAAUAGUGGACUUUCACGGCAGUUAAAGCAAGAAUACUUCAAAAAGACAGGACCAGACUCAAUGCCUGACCUAAAUCCUAUAAUUUGGCCAGGAGAGUCCACCGAAAUACCAAUGGGCUGGGAAAUUCCUACGGUUGGUAAGAAGCUUAGAGUUGGUGUGUGCUCGAGCGAAAAUCCAGAGUUUAUAAACACAUACAAAAAUCCUGCCACAAAUGUAACAACAGCGAGUGGACUGGUAAUUGACAUAUUUGAGGAGGCAGUAAAGAGGCUACAUCAUCCAUUUUCUUAUGAGUACCUAAAUUUUGACACAGCUGAUACAAAAACUUCGGGGAGCUACAAUGAUUUUGUUUAUCAAGUCUAUCGUGGGGAAUACGACAUAGCUGUUGCAGACAUUACUAUAAGAUACAAUAGAUCACUGCAUGUCGACUUCACCGUACCAUACACAGAAUCCGGAGUAGGGAUGAUUGUUCCAUUCAAGGAAAAAGUGAAUACGGAUAUGUGGCUUUUCUUGAAACCACUGAGCAUUGAGAUGUGGUUUGGAAGCAUCAUAUUCUUUAUAUACACAGGAGUUGCUGUCUGGCUGUUGGAGUAUCUAAAUGGCAAUGAACAUGUUCAUGGUCCCCUAUCACUCAAACAAUUGGCGAUUACAAUAUUCUCCAUUUGUGAACAGAAGGAGGAGCUGGAACACUUUCUAGCUAGAACUGUUCUACGUGUAUGGAUGGUUGUUCUUCUGGUACUUGCAUCAAGUUAUACAGCAAGCUUUGCAGCAAUGCUUACUGUACAGCAGCUUUCACCAACAGUGACUGAUGUUCAUGAACUCCAGAAGAAUGGAGAAUAUGUAGGGUUCCACCAAGGUUCCUAUAUAGAUGGUCUAUUGGUGGAGAUUGGUUUUGAUACAUCAAAGAUCAGGGGCUAUGCUACACCUGAUGAUUUCUAUAGUGCUCUUUCUAACGGAAGCAUUGCUGCGGUUGUACUCGAAGUCCCAUAUAUUAAAUUGUUUCUCACAAAGUACAACAAAGGUUACACAAUGGUGGGGCCUAUUUACAAGAGUGCGGGUUUUGCAUUUGCGCUUCCCAAGAAUUCUCCGCUACGUCCUGAAAUGUCGACUGCAAUACUCAACAUAACCGGAGGAGAUACUAUCAAUCAGUUUGAAAAGAAAUGGAUAGGUCAAAAUAGCCAUGAAAAUGAUGACAUGCCUGAUGGUUCAGGCACUAUCAACUUCGAAAGUUGUGGGGGAUUAUUCCUCAUAUCUGGAAUUGUGACAACCGGUUCCCUUUUAGUAGCCAUGCUGAUGAGCCGCUACAAUAAACAUCAACAAAACGCAGGGAACAAACGGGAUGACCAGAAUGAAUCUGGACCUGGGCAAGAAAAGGAGAAAAUGGAAGAACAAGGAGAUCAAAACAGCAAUGGAGAGGGAACUCAAUUGAUGGAGGGCCAAACAACAUUGUGA
rnacentral:rRNA from 1 species